rnacentral:rRNA from 1 species
AUUAAACGCUGGCGGCAUGCCUUACACAUGCAAGUCGAACGGUAGCGCGGGGCAACCUGGCGACGAGUGGCGAACGGGUGAGUAAAGCAUCGGAACGUGCCCUGGAAUGGGGGAUAACGUAGCGAAAGUUACGCUAAUACCGCAUAUUCUGUGAGCAGGAAAGCAGGGGAUCGCAAGACCUUGCGUUCUGGGAGCGGCCGAUGUCGGAUUAGCUAGUUGGUGGGGUAAAAGCCUACCAAGGCGACGAUCCGUAGCGGGUCUGAGAGGAUGAUCCGCCACACUGGGACUGAGACACGGCCCAGACUCCUACGGGAGGCAGCAGUGGGGAAUUUUGGACAAUGGGCGGAAGCCUGAUCCAGCCAUGCCGCGUGAGUGAAGAAGGCCUUCGGUU